GUGCUCACUUUGGCAGCACAUAUACUAAAAUUGGAACGAUACAGAGGAGAUUGGCAUGGCCCCUGCGCAAGGAUGACACGCAAAUUCGUGAAGCGUUCCAUAAAAAA
ensembl:snRNA U6 U6 spliceosomal RNA